rnacentral:rRNA from 1 species
GAUGAACGCUGGCGGCGUGCCUAACACAUGCAAGUCGAACGAGAUCUUCGGGUCUAGUGGCGCACGGGUGCGUAACGCGUGGGAAUCUGCCCUUUGGUUCGGAAUAACAGUUGGAAACGACUGCUAAUACCGGAUGAUGACGAAAGUCCAAAGAUUUAUCGCCAGAGGAUGAGCCCGCGUAGGAUUAGCUAGUUGGUGUGGUAAAGGCGCACCAAGGCGACGAUCCUUAGCUGGUCUGAGAGGAUGAUCAGCCACACUGGGACCGAGACACGGCCCAGACUCCUACGGGAGGCAGCAGUGGGGAAUAUUGGACAAUGGGCGAAAGCCUGAUCCAGCAAUGCCGCGUGAGUGAUGAAGGCCUUAGGGUUGUAAAGCUCUUUUACCCGGGAUGAUAAUGACAGUACCGGGAGAAUAAGCUCCGGCUAACUCCGUGCCAGCAGCCGCCGUAA